AUUGAACGCUGGCGGCAGGCCUAACACAUGCAAGUCGAGCGGAUGAAGGGAGCUUGCUCCUGGAUUCAGCGGCGGACGGGUGAGUAAUGCCUAGGAAUCUGCCUGUUAGUGGGGGAUAACGUCCGGAAACGGGCGCUAAUACCGCAUACGUCCUGAGGGAGAAAGUGGGGGAUCUUCGGACCUCACUCUAUCAGAUGAGCCUAGGUCGGAUUAGCUAGUUGGUGGGGUAAAGGCCUACCAAGGCGACGAUCCGUAACUGGUCUGAGAGGAUGAUCAGUCACACUGGAACUGAGACACGGUCCAGACUCCUACGGGAGGCAGCAGUGGGGAAUAUUGGACAAUGGGCGAAAGCCUGAUCCAGCCAUGCCGCGUGUGUGAAGAAGGUCUUCGGAUUGUAAAGCACUUUAAGUUGGGAGGAAGGGCAGUAAGUUAAUACCUUGCUGUUUUGACGUUACCAACAGAAUAAGCACCGGCUAACUUCGUG
rnacentral:rRNA from 1 species